GUGCAAAUGAAGAGAGAUGCUAUAUCAAAGGUGCUCAACUUGCCCAGAGCCACCAGUACGGCUUAGGGCAAAUCCACAUGGGCAUGAAAUCUUGGACUCACUAUGAAUUGACUCCUCUGUAUCUUUAUGAUGUUCUUGCACCU
rnacentral:lncRNA from 11 species